GGCUCAGGAUGAACGCUAGCUACAGGCUUAACACAUGCAAGUCGAGGGGCAGCGAGAGGAAAGCUGCUUCCUGUCGGCGACCGGCGCACGGGUGAGUAACGCGUAUCCAACCUUCCCCAUAGUAGAGGAUAGCCCGGCGAAAGUCGGAUUAAUACUCUAUGUUGUACAACGAGGACAUCUGAAUUGUACCAAAGAUUCAUCGCUAUGGGAUGGGGAUGCGUCUGAUUAGCUUGUUGGCGGGGUAACGGCCCACCAAGGCGACGAUCAGUAGGGGUUCUGAGAGGAAGGUCCCCCACAUUGGUACUGAGACACGGACCAAACUCCUACGGGAGGCAGCAGUGAGGAAUAUUGGUCAAUGGACGAGAGUCUGAACCAGCCAAGUAGCGUGCAGGAAUGACUGCCCUAUGGGUUGUAAACUGCUUUUAUGCGGGAAUAAAGUCAGGUACGUGUACCUGUUUGUAUGUACCGCAUGAAUAAGGACCGGCUAAUUCCGUGCCAGCCGCAGC
rnacentral:rRNA from 1 species